GGCUUUAUAUUCAAAAUUGAUAUUAGACUGCAAUUCUAAAGGUGUAAUAAAAGUUACUAAGGCCU
rnacentral:tRNA from 1 species